GGCUACAGUACAGCACACGCAUUGUUUCAGAAAAACCUUUCUUUAUCCGGUACAGUGCCACUGAGUUUUCUGUACACAACAAAUUGAGUUGGGCAAGUAUAAGCGACAAACAGAACAAAUAGAAUUUCAAAUAAAGCAGUUUCCUAAACUUUCAACAAUGCACAUUUUACUCACAUUCGCCAUCUUUUCCGUCUGUUUAGCCAUCUCAACAGUUUCUCGAGUUGAGGCGAAUGCUGGUCCAUCAUGGAUUCUUAGCGAAUACGAAGGAUGCAAGGGAUUUUGCAGAACUCCAAUCCGAUACCGCCUCAAGUACAAAAAUCACUUAUGCAAUCUUAAGUACUGUCCGGACCAUGAUGUAAUAAGGGAGCGGUCUGUUGGCACCGGCGACGAAUUACAGGAAGUGGACUAAGUUAACACUUCCGCUGAAGCAAAAACUAGCUCUACUACGACUACAGCAGAUCAAAUUGAAGGAUCUAGAAAUAAAACUUAUUUCAUUAGCAGAAAGUUGGCAUUGAUUCGUUCAUGUUCUAAUACUCCGCUGUUGGUAACUGAUGUUUCUCUUUUGUUUGAAAGAAAUACACGUGUGUUACCAA